ensembl:snRNA U2 U2 spliceosomal RNA
AUCGCUUCUCGGCCUUUUGGCUAAGAUCAAGUGUAGAAUCCAGAGGACCAAUUGUCUCUGGUUUCUUGAGACCCAGUUUGGAAGAAAGCAUUUCUACAUUUUCAAAAAUCAAAAUGUAAAGUUUGUAUUAGUAUACUAAGUAAAAAUAGUAUACUAAAUUAA